UACGUAGGGUGCAAGCGUUAUCCGGAAUUAUUGGGCGUAAAGAGCUCGUAGGCGGUUUGUCGCGUCUGCUGUGAAAACUGGAGGCUCAACCUCCAGCCUGCAGUGGGUACGGGCAGACUAGAGUGCGGUAGGGGAGACUGGAAUUCCUGGUGUAGCGGUGAAAUGCGCAGAUAUCAGGAGGAACACCGGUGGCGAAGGCGGGUCUCUGGGCAACUACUGACGCUGGAGGAGCGAAAGCGUGGGGAGCAAACAGG
rnacentral:rRNA from 1 species